rnacentral:rRNA from 1 species
GACGAACGCUGGCGGCGUGCUUAACACAUGCAAGUCGAACGGAAAGGCCCUGCUUUUGUGGGGUGCUCGAGUGGCGAACGGGUGAGUAACACGUGAGUAACCUGCCCUUGACUUUGGGAGAACUUCAGGAAACUGGGGCUAAUACCGGAUAGGAGCUACUGCUGCAUGGGGGGGGUUGGAAAGUUUCGGCGGUGGGGGAUGGACUCGCGGCUUAUCAGCUUGUUGGUGGGGUAGUGGCUUACCAAGGCUUUGACGGGUAGCCGGCCUGAGAGGGUGACCGGCCACAUUGGGACUGAGAUACGGCCCAGACUCCUACGGGAGGCAGCAGUGGGGAAUAUUGCACAAUGGGCGGAAGCCUGAUGCAGAAACGCCGCGUGCGGGAUGAAGGCCUUCGGGUUGUAAACCGCUUUCGCCUGUGACGAAGCGUGAGUGACGGUAAUGGGUAAAGAAGCACCGGCUAACUACGUG